rnacentral:rRNA from 1 species
AUGCUAGCUUUUCGCGAUGUACUUGAAACUUGCGAGCUGGUGGACCUUGGUUUCUCUGGAGUUCCGUUCACAUAUGAUAACAAGCGAAGUGGUAUGGGUAAUGUGAAAGUUCGGUUGGAUCGGGCAGUUGCUACAAGUUCGUGGAGAAAUAUGUUUGCUUAUGCUUCUGUUGAUCAUGUUGUUUCACCAUGUUCAGAUCAUGUUAUGCUACUUUUAAAGGGAGAGGUUGAUCCAGGCCCUGCAAGUGCAAAGAGUAGAAGGUAUGAAGUUUUUUGGGAAACAGAUCCUGCACUACCUGAAGUCAUAAAGGAUGCAUGGGCUGCGGUAGGAGGGGUGCAGAAUUUGGGACAGUUGAGAGAUGCUCUAUCAAAAACAAUGAUAUGCCUUGGUUCAUGGAGCAGA